UCUAGGUCACGCUUUUACUCUUCCUUCUCCCUACUUUAUCUACAGGCCAGAUUAGGCUUGGGUCUGUGGCUGGCAGUGCUCUGUGCUUAGUCCACACGGCAGCAGGUCUUCACUUCAGAUAUGUGCUGUAAUCCCACAGUGAGCAAAAGAUACAGAAGGGAGAAGUCGUUCUCAUCUUUAGAAACAUCUCUGUGGUUUGCUUUAAACUCCUCCAUAAUGUCAGUCAGGCUGGAAGAAAGUUUUCUCCAUCCCUUCCCCGGUGCCCAUAAUGCGGUGCUUGUCCUGUAGCAGCAGCACAGCUGCUGCCCCACGCUGACGUGCUGCACUCCUCAGUGAUGUUCUCCCCUCCACAACUCAUCAGGAUUUGCUUGGUGAAACAGCAAAAUGAAAGUGUUCGCCUGGAGACAGACCUAUAACACCAAGCAUUACUGCUGAAAAUUUGCGGAGAGCUGCCAACUAAUUAACACAUCUGAGCAGCUCAGCUCUCCUGCUGAGUUACAGCUGCAGAGGGACUAUUCAGAGAGUUGGUUGCAAGCACUGUGGUGCUCUGUGUCUUUUUCUAAACGUCUGAUAUGUGAGCAAGUGACAAAAAUGGAAGAAGGAAAACAUUCAAAUAAAUACUUUUAAAGGACCUCGGAAAUUACUUAAAAGCAACUGUUCCUCUGAAUGUUAAUAUCUGACUCAAUAAAAAAUGACUCCACAUGAAA